CAACCGCAGCAUAAAGAGACACUGAGUCGAGUGAAGGCAAUCGCCUUCUGAGGUGUCACUUUCUCGAACAUAACGCAAGGACCGUUGAAGAGGGCAGUAGAAUAUUUCGAAUCAACGAAACGAUUCCGUUGCUCUAAUUAAAUUUAUUAUAGAAAUGACGUCGUCGGAACAGUAAGCGAAACUGGUUCAGGCAAAGUCAAGGAACCAUUAGCCAACGGAGGAUGAUUUUGAUGAACUGUGCAUUGUACAAAUGAGCAGCGAAGAAGAAACUUUGCUCCAAGUGAAUCGAUAAACAGACGAGUGUCUAGUGAAUGUGACUAUUAAGCAAAUAACAUGGAGCCAGUAUCAGUAAUCAACCACGUAUGUAUUCGAGGUGUAGACGGCCGAAUUAAUAUGUGAUGUUGUCGGUGUAUAGAUAGCCUAAGAUUCUCCUUCUUGCUAUUGCUGGCGUGCACGCUCAGAAUCUUUAGCCACAAAGGCUCCCCCGAGCAAUUCUAGGUAUUAAGGAAAGGCGAACGCAGCUAUAGUUUAUCGCGUAUGAGAUUUAUUUGUGAAACAAACAAACGCGAUAUGUUCAAGUAACCUUUGCAAUGACAUAUACAAGCUGACUUCAGUAAAUAAGACGGCAUAUGGGUGUGUUAUAAGUGACAAUGGCAAGAAAAUGAUGGUGAUAGGCGAAUUUUAUGAUGCUCAUAGAUGUGCCUAAUGUAUUAUUGAAAUUACAUCAUGCAAUACUUCGAACACAGAGAAUCCUACUGCGGUGAGAAGAAAUUCAUUUGAAGAGAAGGAAACUACUAUUAAUCAAUUACCGCAACAUGUAUGUACUGUUAUUUGCUCUGGUUGGCAGUAUAUCGUCACUGUCAACAAGUACUGCUCUCAAAGCGGUCAAUAAGGAGAAUGCGCACGAAACGAACUGAAAUGUCAUAAAGAACAUCCAAAAUACUCCAGAUUAAGGGUUGGUACGAAGCAUUUCAAGCUGAUGGUUACGGGUUUUUGUGGCAUCAUAAUGCGAAGUACCGCUUUCUGCAUUCCUAGUCCUUGUUCAUACCAUGUUGUUUCGUACGCACCUCGAGUAACUUUCUCACUCUGAUCGUUACAAAAAUUGUAUGUAUAUUAUAUUGAUUAAUGUAAUUAAUAUAUUAUACCAAAUAGAACAGAACAUGUGAGAAGUAUAAUAAAUCAUAUGAAAACACUAUCAUUGUUUUGUUACAUUACAAAAUGAAUAUCUCCGUUUCUUGAAUUUAUAAUUUAAACUUGAAUAUAAUUUUAAUUCGUUACUCACCAUCUCCAUCAAAUGAUCGGCCGGUAUCGCCCACAUGAGGACCACCAACAACGAAGUACCAACAAGGAAUAUCAGUUGCAUGUACACUAUGAUCAUUUGUUGCUGUUCGUCAAGAAACGUUUCACAUUAUUCUAUGCUGAUAGGUACUACAGUAACAAACUAUUUGAUGAGAAAAGAAACUGUACCUACCCCAAUUAAAUUGUAACCGCAGAAUACAAUGAUUACGCUGUUAAUAAGUAUCGUAGCAAAAGCUACAUACUGAACACCGCUGACCACUUGCCAGAAGCUUUUAAAUUCGAAGCACAAGCCGAUAAAAGAAUGUUCGAAUCUUGGAGGUCCGAUUGGAGGCAAUUUCAUUAAAUGUCCACGAGAAAAUGACGCGUAAGCCAGAAAAGAUUAAAACGAAAUAAAUGUAACGAAUAACAAUAGAAAGAAAAACAGGUGCUAAUCGUACAUUUUUAUUCCUCAAAACUACUUUGCAACGCCGAGUACAGGAGCAAUAUAGCUCCAAACAUGUUCGCACUAACGGAUGAGGAACACUGGAAGCCGACAGCAGAUUGAUGCAGAAAAAUAAUAAUCUUCACGGGCAUGUAAUCGAUCGGGAACGGAUAUUCGGAGACCGUCGGAAACGUUUGUGUCGAUUGAAG